rnacentral:rRNA from 1 species
GAUCCUGGCUCAGGAUGAACGCUGGCGGCGUGCUUAACACAUGCAAGUCGAACGGGAAUUACUUUAUUGAAACUUCGGUGGAUUUAAUUUAAUUCUAGUGGCGGACGGGUGAGUAACGCGUGGGUAACCUGCCUUGUACAGGGGGAUAACAGUCAGAAAUGACUGCUAAUACCGCAUAAGCGCACAGGACCGCAUGGUCCGGUGUGAAAAACUCCGGUGGUAUAAGAUGGACCCGCGUUGGAUUAGCUGGUUGGUGGGGG